AUACGAAAGGUGCAAGCGUUGUUCGGAUUUACUGGGCGUAAAGAGAUCGUAGGUGGUUUAUUAAGUCGGAUGUGAAAUCCCGGGGCUCAACCCCGGAACUGCAUUCGAUACUGGUAGACUAGAGUUUGGGAGGGGUAAGCGGAAUUCCGUGUGUAGCAGUGAAAUGCGUAGAUAUACGGAGGAACACCUGAGGCGAAGGCGGCUUACUGGACCAAUACUGACACUGAGGAUCGAAAGCGUGGGUAGCAAACAGGAUUAGAUACCCUAGUAGUCC
rnacentral:rRNA from 1 species